UACGAGGGGGGCAAAUGUUGUUCGGAAUCACUGGGCGUAAAGGGAGCGUAGGCGGGCUUCUAAGUUAGAUGUUUAAUCCCGGGGCCCAACCCCGGACAGGCACCUAAAACUGGAAGUCUUGAAUAGUGGAGAGGACGGCGGAAUUGGGGGUGUAGCGGUGGAAUGCGCAGAUAUCAGGAAGAACACCCGUGGCUAAAGGCGGUUCUCUAGUACGGUACUGACGCUGAGACGCGAAAGCGUGGGGAGCGAACAGG
rnacentral:rRNA from 1 species